rnacentral:rRNA from 1 species
UACAGAGGUCUCAAGCGUUAUUCGGAUUCAUUGGGCGUAAAGGGUGCGUAGGUGGCGAUGUAAGUCUGGCGUGAAAUUUUGGGGCUUAACCCCAACAAGCGCCGGAUACUGCGUUGCUUGAGGAUUGUAGAGGAGAGUGGAAUUCACGGUGUAGCAGUGAAAUGCGUAGAUAUCGUGAGGAAGACCAGUUGCGAAGGCGACUCUCUGGGCAAUUCCUGACACUGAGGCACGAAGGCCAGGGGAGCAAACGGG